UGGGGAAUAUUGCACAAUGGGCGAAAGCCUGAUGCAGCGACGCCGCGUGAGGGAUGACGGCCUUCGGGUUGUAAACCUCUUUCAGCAGGGACGAAGCGAAAGUGACGGUACCUGCAGAAGAAGCACCGGCCAACUACGUGCCAGCAGCCGCGGUAAUACGUAGGGUGCGAGCGUUGUCCGGAAUUACUGGGCGUAAAGAGCUCGUAGGCGGUUUGUCGCGUCGUCUGUGAAAUCCCGCAGCUCAACUGCGGGCUUGCAGGCGAUACGGGCAGACUCGAGUACUGCAGGGGAGACUGGAAUUCCUGGUGUAGCGGUGAAAUGCGCAGAUAUCAGGAGGAACACCGGUGGCGAAGGCGGGUCUCUGGGCAGUAACUGACGCUGAGGAGCGAAAGCGUGGGUAGCGAACAGGAUUAGAUACCCUGGUAGUCCACGCCGUAAACGGUGGGCGCUAGGUGUGGGUUUCCUUCCACGGGAUCCGUGCCGUAGCCAACGCAUUAAGCGCCCCGCCUGGGGAGUACGGCCGCAAGG
rnacentral:rRNA from 1 species